rnacentral:rRNA from 1 species
GACGAAGGGGGCUAGCGUUGUUCGGAAUUAUUGGGCGUAAAGGGCGCGUAGGCGGUCUGGUAAGUUGGAAGUGAAAGCCCGGGGCUUAACCUCGGAAUUGCUUUCAAAACUGCCGGACUAGAGUGUAGUAGGGGAUGAUGGAAUUCCUAGUGUAGAGGUGAAAUUCUUAGAUAUUAGGAGGAACACCGGUGGCGAAGGCGGUCAUCUGGGCUACAACUGACGCUGAGGCGCGAAAGCGUGGGGAGCAAACAGG